GGGCUUGUAACUCAGCCUGGUUAGAGUGGCCGGCUCAUAACCGGUUCGUCCGGAGUUCAAAUCUCCGCAGGCCCA
rnacentral:tRNA from 2 species